GAUGAACGCUAGCGGCAGGCCUAACACAUGCAAGUCGAGGGGUAGAGGAAGCUUGCUUCCUUGAGACCGGCGCACGGGUGCGUAACGCGUAUGCAAUCUACCUUGUACUGAGGGAUAGCCCAGAGAAAUUUGGAUUAAUACCUCAUAGUAUUAUGAAAUCGCAUGGUUUUAUAAUUAAAGUUCCAACGGUACAAGAUGAGCAUGCGUCCCAUUAGUUAGUUGGUAAGGUAACGGCUUACCAAGACAAUGAUGGGUAGGGGUCCUGAGAGGGAGAUCCCCCACACUGGUACUGAGACACGGACCAGACUCCUACGGGAGGCAGCAGUGAGGAAUAUUGGUCAAUGGACGCAAGUCUGAACCAGCCAUGCCGCGUGCAGGAUGAAGCAUCUAUGGUGUGUAAACUGCUUUUAUACGGGAAGAAACACUCCUACGUGUAGGAACUUGACGGUACCGUAAGAAUAAGGAUCGGCUAACUCCGUGCCAGCAGCCGCCGUAAUAC
rnacentral:rRNA from 1 species